UUCCAGGCAAGAGUACUGGAGUGGGUUGCCAUUGCCUUCUCCGAAAAGCAGCUAGCCAGGCCAAAUGAACAGCAGGUACAAAGGCCCUGACACUUGGAAGGGCCUUCUUGGGACAGUUGGAACGUCUUGUCCUGAAAGACCAUGGGACCCCAAGCCAAGCUGUCCACCUCUGCAUUUAAGGAACCUAACUGGGACUUCCCACAAGGAGACUAGGGAAGAGAGAACAGAGAACAGAGAGAGAACCCUGGAGAACAGAGGAGCCUGAAGAGCUACAGUCCAUGAGGUUGCAAAGAGUUGGACAUGACUUCGAGACUGAGCAACAACAGCAGCCCUGUUCUACUGGGGAAAUGGGAUCAUACUAUAAAUCCUGUCUUGCUGAAUCACCCAUGCCAGACGAGCAGCCUGGGUAUCACCCUGAGUUGGUCAGAAAUACACAAUCUCAUGCUUCACUCAUGACCUGCUAGAUCACAACCUGCAUUUAACAAGAAUCAAGAGCCCCGGAGAUUCCUGUGCACAGGAAUCUCAUCAGAGCUGGAGAAGCUCUAAUAUAUAUUAUUAUAUGCAACUUGUUUUUUUUUUAGCAACAGUAAGUCUUUGAGGUCUCUCAGUGUAAUAACAGAUUGGUCAAGUUCCUUGUUCGCAGAUGCAUAAUUUCCCACUGUUUAGUAGUGCUUUGGUUUUGUUCUCGGGUUCGGUGAAAAUGAUUGUGCCAGGCUUGAAGAAUGGAUGGAUAAAAUGCCACUUGGGGGUGUGUGUGUGGAGAAGGGUUGAUGUUCUGGGCAGAGGAAUCAGCAUAAGCAAAGGCAUGGAAUCAGAAAGGA
ensembl:lncRNA